rnacentral:lncRNA from 1 species
ACAUACCAAUGUCCUACUGAGAGUUUCAACAACUGCCUGUGCUGCUCAGGGACUGACUCAAUCCUAUGGAUAGGAGCUGUCAGGUCAGUCAUUGUGGAAGAGAGCAGUCAUUUAAUAGGACGCAGAAGCCUAAACACAUAUUUGUAAUAGGAAACAACAAAAGGUAUUGUCCAUAUUUGAAAUUGACAGUGUAAUUAGAGAUUAAAUAUAUAUAUAUAAUUACCUGGACUGGAAAUGUUAUUUGUUGUUGACAUCAUUGCAGGGCUUGAGCCAGGA